CGACAUAUUUUUUGACAGAACCAUAAAAAGUUAGCCGAAAAAUACUCUCGGCCAAAAUUUUUUUUGCUUCUUGCGCUACGUCAGUUUACUUACUACAAGUAAUGGGUAGUAUGUUCGUCGGCUAUUUCCUCACUCUGGGGUUA
rfam:Pseudomonas agarici strain NCPPB 2472 genome.